AUCGGAAGCAACACUAUCCGGUGCAUUGGGCGAGUGUGUGUCACACUUUCAGCUGGUGAGUGUUAUGUUGCUCUAAGCACACAGUUAACCUGCGGAUACACAUGAAACAUACGGAUUAUCGGACAGACACGCACGCAAGGGCUCGUUUGCUGUCGUUUCAGACGCUGAUCUGAUUAUUUCUGAGCUUUUUUAGUGUUUAGUAAAGGAAAUUUGGGGAUAAGAUGGCGGAUGUGGCUCCAGCCGGCGUGGAGAAGAGUCUGGAUGACUUCUUCGCUAAGCGCGACAAGAAGAAAAAGAAGGAGAAGGGCAAGGGAAAGGAGCAGGCGACCGGAGGACCUGUAUUGUUGGUGAAAAAGACGAAAAAGGAGAAGGAGAAGUCGACGAAGAGUGAGAAUCAGGACGCGCAGAUGGAGAAGGAGGAUGAGGAAUGGAAGGACUUUGAGCAGAAGGAGGUGGACUACACUGGACUCAGACUCCAGGCAAUGCAGAUGAGUGAUGAGAAGGAGGAUGAAGAGUAUGAGAAGGAGGAAGUGGGCGAGGAUGGUGAGAUCAUCCUGGUCAGUGGUGAUAAAGUCUCUGGACCCUGGAAUAAAUCAGGCGCCCCCCCUUCAGCUGCUCCGGUAGAGGAAGUUGAGGUUCCUGAGCCCAAAGCACCUGGCGUGUAUCGUCCCCCAGGGGCCCGGUUAACCUCUACUAAAAGAGGCCCAACUCAAGGGCCUCCAGAGAUCUUCAGCGAUGCCCAGUUCCCUUCUCUCCUCUCCACCGCCAGACACGUGGAGACUCGCAAGGACAGAGAGAUGGAGAAGACUUUUGAGGUGGUCAAGCACAAGAGCCGUGUCAAAGAAGGGGAAGGCCCGGGGUCCAUGCAGCAUUUACAGUUAGAUAAUCAGUACGCCAUCCUGGGGGACAAAUAAAAGCCGUCUCCGUCUCCCCCCAAGCCUACCGCCAAUGGUACUGUAAGACUCGCAGGGGGAACAUGACCUGCAGCUGUCUGAUGCAGUCCUGACCGAGCUGGAGACGCCUGUGCCCAUACACACACACACACACACACACACGCACACACACACGCACACACAAUGACAUGCAAACACACACAUCCCAAAAAUCCUUGUCAAGCAACAUCCACAAAUGAACGCAUUUUGACACAUUUAGCCAUUGAAAUCCUCUCUCUCACACACACAAAGCUGAUAAAGUCCCUCCCUUUUCAACUGCAUUCAGACGGGCUGCAGCAACAGGAACUGACUGAAAUUUCAAAUUCUGCUUUAUAUGACACCAAGUUCACCAAGACGAAUGAUACUGCAUCAAACGAACAAGGCACCAAAUGUUUAUUUCGGUGGAUUUCCUCAUGGGGUUGGUUGGCCGGCAGAGCCACUGGACAUCGGCCAACCCUGAGAAAAUGAGAAAAGCCACUUUGAGGAUGGAGUUCAAAACAUUGCGUGAGAAUUAAAAAAAAAAAAAAAAAAAAAAAAAAAAAAACUGCUGAGGGUUUUUUGUUUUUCGCUACAUCAGUAUAGCUCCCAAACCUCUGGAUUUUUUUUUCUUGCAUUGUGAAGACAAAGCUGGGAGUUUUCGGUUUGGGCACUAGAGAGGGGAGACUACCUCAGUUACAUAUCUGUGGUUACCAUGUCGACCAGGUCCUGGGCUCAGAUUGGCUGCAGUCCAGCCAAAGAGGAGCGAUUCAACGUUUCAACCUUAAACUUGAAAAUGAUAUUUUUUCCCUCCCCUUUUUUGCGAGAUCUGUUGACAGAGGCGUCAAGUCUUCAAAUUUAUUUUUUAAAGUGGCCUUACUGUGGAAAAAAAAAAAAAAAAAAGAAAGUUAUGGGGGAGAAAUAUCUAUAUAAAUAUAUUUAGAGAAUGUGUUCAAAACAAAUUAAUUCUGGAAGGCACUUCCUGGUCGUGUUGCAGUUAAAUGCCUGCUUGAUUUGAUUCUUACCACUCUGAGGAAAAAAAUGCCACCGUAACCCUCUGUGAGAAUGUAGUUCUGCGCUAGUUUGUCGACAUAUUGCGAAUAAUGGAUGUUCUCUAACAAUGUCCCUUAAACCUUUCCAUCUCUGUUCCUCUCCUCAUUUUAUUUGAUUCCAUGAUGAUUGACAAACCAUUAUUAAAGCUUAACCUUUCUAAUCUCA